GAUGUUCCCCAGGCCCUGCCUGUGGUUCCUGCCUGGGCCUUGGCUGCUGCUGUGUGAGAGCUGCAUAUGCCUGGAAGUGGUAUUUUGAGGUGAAAGAGUUUGUUCAUUUUGAAGAUAUUUCUGUCUCUCUCUCGACCUGAUGUGUAGACGCUCACUUCCAGUAGCAGAACCACCUUAGUUGUGUCUUACAGAUUCUGAACAAAUCGGUUUCUGAUAAGCCAUGUGUUCCAAAGAAUGUCUGAAUAAGACCGCUCUUUAUUUAAAUGCUAAGAGGAUGUCACUACUGCAAUCCAUCUGUGGCCGAUUUUUUCCAAGAGCCAAUUUCCUUGUUUUGGUUGCAAGAACCUGGCUCUGCCUGCAUGUCAGCUCUCUGCCCUCCCUGCUGCCGUGGCUUUCAAGCGCUUGGCAGAAUCUUGUACUUCGUGUCCACAAUGGUACUGAAUUUGCAUCUGCACAGUCAGCAGAGAUAACAAGUGUUGAACUGACCUUGCCACAUGCUUAGUGAGUGAUUUGUAAUUAAGUUUAUAGACUCAGAAGGUAUAUUAGGACAUUUGGAAUCAGUAGCAGAGC
rnacentral:lncRNA from 1 species